GACGAACGCUGGCGGCGGGCUUAACACAUGCAAGUCGAACGGAAAGGCCCUGCUUUUUUGCUGUGCUCGAGUGCCGAACGGGUGAGUAACACGUGUGUAACCUACUCUACUCUUUCGUAUAACUUCACGAAACUGGGGCUAAUACCAUAUAGCAUCCGACGCUCCAUUGUAGGGAGUGGAAAUUUUCGGCGGUUGGGGAUGAACUCGCGGCUUAUCGGUUUGUUAGUGGGGGAGUUGCUUACCAAGGCUGUGACGGGUAGCCGGCAUGUGAGGGUGACCGGCGACCUUGGGACUGAGGUACGGACCAGACUGGUACAGUAGGCAGAAGUGGGGAAUAUUGCCCAAUGGGAGCAAGCCUGAUGAAGAAGCGUUGGGUGUGGGAAGCCGGCCUUCGGGUAGAAAAAAGCUUUAGCCUGUGACGACGCGUGAGUGACGGUAAUCGGAAAAGAAGCACCGGCUAACUACGUG
rnacentral:rRNA from 1 species